rnacentral:rRNA from 1 species
AGUGAACGCUGGCGGUAUGCCUAACACAUGCAAGUCGAACGGCAGCACGAGGAGGCUUGCUCUCUAAGUGUCGAGUGGGGGGGGUGUGUGAAAUACAGCUGAAUCUGCUCAAUCACUGGGGUUAACUUGGGGAAACGUAGGCUAAUACCGCAUACAACCUGCACGGGAUGGAGGAAUAGCGCAAGACGGCUUUCGAGUGGAUUAUCCAUGGACGCAUUAGCUAGUUAGCGGGGUAAUGGCUCACCAAGGCAACGAUCCGUAGCUGGUCUGAGAGGAUGAUCAGCCACACUGGAACUGAGACACGGUCCAGACUCCUACGGGAGGCAGCAGUAGGGAAUCUUGCACAAUGGGCGAAAGCCUGACGCAGCAACGCCGCGUGAGUGAUGAAGGCCUUCGGGUUGUAGAGCUCUUUUGUUGGGAAAGAACUAAUUCAGGAUAAUCUACUGGGAGCAUGACGGUACCCAAAGAAUAAGCCACGGCUAACUUCGUG